GCGUGGGUGAUGAAGCUCUGAGGAGCGUAAAGCCCUGUUAGGAGGGAAGAAUAUCCGCUUUUGGCGGACUGACGGUACCUCCAGAGAAAGCUCCGGCUAACUCCGUGCCAGCAGCCGCGGUAAUACGGGGGGAGCAAGCGUUGUCCGGAUUUACUGGGCGUAAAGGGAGUGCAGGCGGGGUGGUAAGUCAGUGGUGAAAACUUGCGGCUUAACCGUAAGCGUGCUUCUGAUACUGCCACUCUUGAGUGCGGAAGGGGGAAGCGGAAUUCCUGGUGUAGCGGUGAAAUGCGU
rnacentral:rRNA from 1 species